rnacentral:misc_RNA from 1 species
GAAAUGCGAUAAGUAAUGUGAAUUGCAGAAUUCAGUGAAUCAUCGAAUCUUUGAACGCACCUUUCGCUCCUUGGUAUUCCUUGGAGCAUGUCUGUUUGAGUAUCAUGAAAUCUUCAAAGUAAAUCUUUUGUUAACUCAAUUGGUUUCUACUUUGGUAUUGGAGGUCUUUGCAGCUUCACACCUGCUCCUCUUUGUUCAUUAGCUGGAUCUCAGUGUUAUGCUUGGUUCCACUCGGCGUGAUAAGUUAUCUAUCGCUGAGGACACUGUAAAAGGUGGCCAAGGUAAAUGCAGAUGAACCGCUUCUAAUAGUCCAUUGACUUGGACAAUACUUUUAUGAUCUGAUCUCAAAUCAGGUAGGACUACCCGCUGAACUUAAGC